GUCACACCUUUUCCUGAACUUUGGCUCAAUUGAAGAAGGAAACUUUCAGGGGAAUUCCAAUAGUAAACAACGGAACCAGCAGUUUUACAAUAAACUGCAGAGUUCCAUUUCAAAACACAAAAAUAGAGCGUCUCUGCACCGAUGUACUGCCUUAAGGAAGGGUUUGCACAGUACCUCAGUUCUUCAACUGAGCAUCCUUAUAUUCAACUUCCUUUUCCCCCAGAGGAGAUAACUGCAGUGGCUUUUUAUUACUUGAAAACAAAAGAACAA
rnacentral:lncRNA from 1 species